rnacentral:piRNA from 1 species
ACGGAGCUUCAAUAUUCUUUAUCUG